rnacentral:rRNA from 1 species
GACGAACGCUGGCGGCGUGCUUAACACAUGCAAGUCGAACGGAAAGGCCCUGCUUUUGUGGGGUGCUCGAGUGGCGAACGGGUGAGUAACACGUGAGUAACCUGCCCUUGACUUUGGGAUAACUUCAGGAAACUGGGGCUAAUACCGGAUAGGAGCUCCUGCUGCAUGGUGGGGGUUGGAAAGUUUCGGCGGUUGGGGAUGGACUCGCGGCUUAUCAGCUUGUUGGUGGGGUAGUGGCUUACCAAGGCUUUGACGGGUAGCCGGCCUGAGAGGGUGACCGGCCACAUUGGGACUGAGGUACGGCCCAGACUCGUACGGGAGGCAGCAGUGGGGAAUAUUGCACAAUGGGCGGAAGCCUGAGACAGCAACGCUGCGUGCGGGAUGACGGCCUUCGCGUAGUAAACCGCUUUCGCUUGUGACGAAGCGUGAGUGACGGUAAUGGGUAAAGAAGCACCGGCUAACUACGUG